rnacentral:rRNA from 1 species
AUUGAACGCUGGCGGCAUGCCUCACACAUGCAAGUCGAACGGUAACAGGUUAAGCUGACGAGUGGCGAACGGGUGAGUAAUACAUCGGAACGUGCCCAGUAGUGGGGGAUAGCCCGGCGAAAGCCGGAUUAAUACCGCAUACGACCUAAGGGUGAAAGGGGGGGAUCGCAAGACCUCUCGCUAUUGGAGCGGCCGAUGUCAGAUUAGCUAGUUGGUGGGGUAAAAGCUCACCAAGGCGACGAUCUGUAGCUGGUCUGAGAGGGCGACCAGCCACACUGGGACUGAGACACGGCCCAGACUCCUACGGGGGGCAGCAGUGGGGAAUUUUGGACAAUGGGCGCAAGCCUGAUCCAGCCAUGCCGCGUGCGGGAAGAAGGCCUUCGGGUUGUAAACCGCUUUUGUCAGGGAAGAAAUCCUUUGGGUUAAUACCUCGGGGGGAUGACGGUACCUGAAGAAUAAGCACCGGCUAACUACGUG